rnacentral:rRNA from 1 species
AUUGAACGCUGGCGGCAGGCCUAACACAUGCAAGUCGAGCGAGCGGCGGACGGGUGAGUAAUGUAUGGGAAACUGCCUGAUGGAGGGGGAUAACUACUGGAAACGGUAGCUAAUACCGCAUACCAUCAGAUGAACCCAGAUGGGAUUAGCUUGUAGGUAGGGUAACGGCUUACCUAGGAGACGAUCCCUAGCUGGUCUGAGAGGAUGAUCAGCCACACGGGGACUGAGACACGGCCCAGACUCCUAAGGGAGGCAGCAGGGGGGAAUAUUGCACAAUGGGCGCAAGCCUGAUGCAGCCAUGCCGCGUGUAUGAAGAAGGCCUUCGGGUUGUAAAGCACUUUCAGGCGGGAGGCGGUACCGACAGAAGAAGCACCGGCUAACUCCGUGCCAGCAGCCGCGGUAAUUC